rnacentral:rRNA from 1 species
UACGUAGGGGGGCAAGCGUUGUCCGGAUUUAUUGGGCGUAAAAGGCUUGUAGGUGGCCACGCCAAGUCGGAUGUGAAAUCUCCCGGCUCAACUGGGAGGGGUCAUUCGAUACUGGCGGGCUCGAGGCCGGUAGGGGGAAGUGGAAUUCCCGGUGUAGUGGUGGAAUGCGUAGAUAUCGGGAGGAACACCAGUGGCGAAGGCGGCUUCCUGGACCGGGUAUUGACGCUGAGGUGCGAAAGCGUGGGGAGCGAACAGG